rnacentral:rRNA from 1 species
AGCUCCAAUAGCGUAUAUUAAAGUUGUUGCAGUUAAAAAGCUCGUAGUUGGAUCUCAGGUCCAGGCUUGCGGUCCGCUCCUUGGUGGUUACUGCUCGUCCUGACCUACCACCCGGUUGGCCCUUGGUGCUCUUGACUGAGUGUCUCGGGAAGCUGGAACGUUUACUUUGAAAAAAUUAGAGUGUUCAAAGCAGGCGGUUAGCCUGAAUAAUGGUGCAUGGAAUAAUGGAAUAGGACCUCGGUUCUAUUUUGUUGGUUUUCGGAAUUGGAGGUAAUGAUUAAGAGGGACGGACGGGGGCAUUCGUAUUACGGUGUUAGAGGUGAAAUUCUUGGAUCGCCGUAAGACGAACUACUGCGAAAGCAUUUGCCAAGAAUGUUUUCA